UACAGGGGGUGCAAACGUUGCUCGGAAUCAUUGGGCGUAAAGCGCACGUAGGCGGUUCGUUAUGUCGGAUGUGAAAGCCCUUGGCUUAACCGAGGAAGUGCAUCCGAAACUGGCGAGCUAGAGUACGAAAGAGGAUCGCGGAAUUCCCGGUGUAGAGGUGAAAUUCGUAGAUAUCGGGAGGAACACCGGUGGCGAAGGCGGCGACCUGGGUAGAUACUGACGCUGAGGUGCGAAAGCGUCGGGAGCAAACAGG
rnacentral:rRNA from 1 species